rnacentral:lncRNA from 1 species
AUGUGGCUAUCUGGAUGCUUAGAAUGUAAAGUUAGAUGCAAAGAUUUGAUCUCUUUUAGGGGAACAAAGUAUAUUUGCUUGUGUUUCCAGCGUAGCCUAUUAUUCCAGCAUCCAAUUCUCGAGCAAAUUUAAAUACCACCAAGUCAUUAUUUUCAUAUACCCAUCAACAUUCUACUGCCAAGGAGGAAUCUCCAAAAAUCACAAAAUUGGUAACAGAAAAUCAUAAGGAGGUAACUGGAAAUUUUAAUUACUAAAACUUUUGUACCAUCCAUACGAGAUCAACUGAACUGCUGAGUGGUGAGCAAGACAUGACUGUAAGAUUGUCUAUUUCAUUUUGUUGAAUCUUCUCACCUGCGAUUGGACAAGUCUACACAAGGCAUCAAAUGCGAAAUACUGGACAGCUUCUCGAUUGAAAAGUACACAUGCAUGCAACGUUCCCUAGGAGAUAUUGCGUAAGAUCCACAGGGCA